CAGAUCAUGUGACACUUAGAUUGCACACAGGUGGACUUUAUUUAACUAAUUAUGUGACUGAAGGUAAUUGGUUGCACCAGAUCUUAUUUAGGGGCUUCAUAGUAAAGAAUACAUAUGCACACACACCACUUUUCCGUUAUUUAGAUAUUUUUGAAACAAGUUUUUUAUUUUAUUUCACUUUACCAAUUUGGACUAUUUUCUUUGUUUGUCCAUUACAUGAAAUCCAAAUAAAAAUCCAUUUAAAUUACAGGUUGUAAAGCAACAAAAUAGGAAAAACGCCAAGGGGGAUGAAAUACUAUUGUCAGGCACUGUAUUUUCUCACACGUUUGCUGUGCCCCAAAUGGCGUGCAAUCCCCUACAUAGUGCAUUCUCUUUGGCAAGGGCCCACAGAAGUAGUGCACUACAUAGGGAAUGGGAUGCCUAGUCUCUCCACACAGCCUCUGUAUGUCCGGCAAGCCGGACUAUAGCUCACAGGAUGAAAUCACAAACAAUUUACCCAAACCUAUUUUAGUUAUAGCAUUAUUUCAUUUCAUGUUAGAAACUACGUGUCCUUUUUCAUAACUCCCUGUUGAUGCAUUCAUUAACCAAACCAUACAAUAUUAAUAACCAUAACGAGAGAGAGAGACUCGAUAACAACCUGGAUGUAUGUAAUAGUUUUACUAUUACAGAGGUUUCUAUACACUGAGCAGGGCCAUAGACAUGGGUUACAGUCCAGAUCACAUCCUGAUAUAUUCCCUAGGGACUGAGCAGGGCCAUAGACAUGGGUUACAGUCCAGAUCACAUCCUGAUAUAUUCCCUAGGGACUGAGCAGGGCCAUAGACAUGGGUUACAGUCCAAAUGGCAUCCUGAUAUAUUCCCUAGGGACUGAGCAGGGCCAUAGACAUGGGUUACAGUCCAGAUCACAUCCUGAUAUAUUCCCUGUAUAGUCAGAAGGAGUGGACUGUGUAGGGAAUAGGGACUGUGUAGGGAAUAGGGACUGUGUAGGGAAUAGGGACUGUGUAGGGAAUAGGGACUGUAUAGGGAAUAGGGACUGUGUAGGGAAUAGGGACUGUGUAGGGAAUAGGGACUGUGUAGGGAAUAGGGACUGUAUAGGGAAUAGGGACUGUGUAGGGAAUAUAUAACAUAAAACACUGGCUAACCACUGGUGUGGGGUUAAGACUCAGUGGAAAUGCAUCACCAUAGUACUAGACUAGUACUCAUAUUUAGUCAGUACUGCUGUAGUACUCUUAUACAGUACAGUUUAAGUCAGUACUGCUAUAGUACUCUUAUACAGUACAGUUUAAGUCAGUACUGCUAUAGUACUCUUAUACAGUACAGUUUAAGUCAGUACUGCUAUAGUACUCUUAUACAGUACAGUUUAAGUCAGUACUGCUAUAGUACUCUUAUACAGUACAGUUUAAGUCAGUACUGCUGUAGUACUCUUGUACAGUGCAGUUUAAGUCAGUACUGCUAUAGUACUCUUAUACAGUACAGUUUAAGUCAGUUCUGCUAUAGUACUCUCAUACAGUACAGUUAAAGUCAGUACUGCUAUAGUACUCUUAUACAGUACAGUUUUAAUGUGCAAUUAGCUGUAGCCCCUAACAUGGCGAUCAAUAAUCAAUAAUAUUACGAAGUUGGAUAAAAUAUUGAUCAUAUUUAUAAUUCGCAUUGACAUUGAUAAAUGGUGCUGGACUGUAAUUAAGGUUAUGAGGUACACUAGUGACUUUACAUUGAGCCCUGGUGAUGGGAGUCUGGUGGCAGAGUUAUGAGGUACACUAGUGACUUUACAUUGAGCCCUGGUGAUGGGAGUCUGGUGGCAGAGUUAUCAGGUACGCUAGUGACUUUAUAUUGAGCCCUGGUGAUGGGAGUGACUUUACAUUGAGCCCUGGUGAUGGGAGUGACUUUACAUUGAGCCCUGGUGAUGGGAGUCUGGUGGCAGAGUUAUCAGGUACACUAGUGACUUUACAUUGAGCCCUGGUGAUGGGAGUCUGGUGGCAGAGUUAUCAGGUACGCUAGUGACUUUACAUUGAGCCCUGGUGAUGGGAGUCUGGUGGCAGAGUUAUCAGGUACGCUAGUGACUUUACAUUGAGCCCUGGUGAUGGGAGUCUGGUGGCAGAGUUAUCAGGUACGCUAGUGACUCAGCUCGUCUGUUGAACACUACAGGGGGAAACAAUGAGCUCUGGAAGGGUUACACUGCAGGCGAUUCCCUGAAUAUUUUCACUAACAUCUACCAUGCUUUUCAUCUACCAUGUUAGACUUUGGUUUUUGUUCUUGAAUUAUCUGGUGUCAGGAGAGAAAGAAAGAGUACAGAUGUAGGAUCUUAAUUUGAGCCAGUUUGCUGCAGCAGGAAAAUAAUCCCGCAGCAACGGGAAAUGUCAAUAGUUUUUUUGUGGAUUAUAAUUAAUAUACUUUUUUUGUAAGGGUUGAUAGAUUUUUAAUUAUGGUAAAUCAAGUCUGACAUUUUUAAGGGGAAAUUACAAACUUUAUAUCCCUUUUAUUUAUUUUUUUUACCCUGAAUGCAAUACAAGUUUGCAUUUCCUGCUGUGCAAGAAAUUCCUGCAGCUGGAUGAUCAAAUUAUGAUAUGGCAUCUGUAGUCGAAUGACAAUUCAGGUGGUUGACUUCAAUUGCAAAAUCAAUGCACUGUAUGUUGAAGCAGUAAGGUAUGAUCUGAAUAUGACUGUGUGGUACUAAGGCUAGGCUAAUCCCUCUGCAGUUCUAUAUGACUGUGUGGUACUAAGGCUAGGCUAAUCCCUCUGCAGUUCUAUAU
ensembl:lncRNA